rnacentral:rRNA from 1 species
UACGUAGGGGGCAAGCGUUGUCCGGAUUUAUUGGGCGUAAAGAGCGUGUAGGCGGCCUGACAGGUCUGCUGUGAAAACUCGAGGCUCAACCUCGAGAUGUCGGCGGAAACCGUCUGGCUAGAGUCCGGAGGAGGAGAGUGGAAUUCCUGGUGUAGCGGUGAAAUGCGCAGAUAUCAGGAAGAACACCUAUGGCGAAGGCAGCUCUCUGGGACGGUACUGACGCUGAGACGCGAAAGCGUGGGGAGCAAACAGG